UGGGGAAUUUUGGACAAUGGGCGAAAGCCUGAUCCAGCAAUGCCGCGUGUGUGAAGAAGGCCUUCGGGUUGUAAAGCACUUUUGUCCGGAAAGAAAUCCUUGGCUCUAAUACAGUCGGGGGAUACGGUACCGGAAGAAUAAGCACCGGCUAACUACGUGCCAGCAGCCGCGGUAAUACGUAGGGUGCAAGCGUUAAUCGGAAUUACUGGGCGUAAAGCGUGCGCAGGCGGUUUGCUAAGACCGAUGUGAAAUCCCCGGGCUCAACCUGGGAACUGCAUUGGUGACUGGCAGGCUAGAGUAUGGCAGAGGGGGGUAGAAUUGCCACGUGUAGCAGUGAAAUGCGUAGAGAUGUGGAGGAAUACCGAUGGCGAAGGCAGCCCCCUGGGCCAAUACUGACGCUCAUGCACGAAAGCGUGGGGAGCAAACAGGAUUCAGAUAUCCCUGGUAGUCCACGCCCUAAACGAUGUC
rnacentral:rRNA from 1 species